rnacentral:rRNA from 1 species
CUGGUUGAUCCUGCCAGUAGUCAUAUGCUUGUUUCAAGGAUUAAGCCAUGCAUGUCUAAGUAUAAGCUCUUGUACGGCUAGACUGCAGACGGCUCAUUACAACGGUUGUAUCUUACAGGGCAUCCGGGUCGCAAGACCUUCUGGAUAACCGCAGUAAAUCGGGGCUAAUACAUACAAACGGAGGAAUGGAGGGGGCAACCUUGAAGUUUCUGCGAUGGACAUUUAGCUAUUCGACCAACCCCGCAAGGGAAUGGUUGGAACCGGUUCAUAUUGCUAAUCGACUCUAGCUUGCUAGUAGUCUGAUAAGCCCUAUAGACAACCGCCCUAUCAACUUGAUGGUAAGGUUUUGGCUUACCAUGGUUGUAACGGGUAACGGGGAAUCAGGGUUCGAUUCCGGAGAGGACGCCUGAGAAACGGCGUCCACAUCUACGGGUGGCAGCAGGCGCGUAAAUUGCCCAAUCUCAACAGAGAGGAGGCGGUGACAAUAAAUCCCGAUGGCUUUGGGGGCAACCCCAGGCUAAUCAGAAUAAGUACACAUUAAAUCCCCUAACCAAUAUAAUUGGAGGGCAAGUCUGGU